rnacentral:piRNA from 1 species
UAUGUCAGGUUCCUUUGUGCA